GAGGGUAUAGCUCAGUGGUAGAGCACCUGCUUAGCAUGCGCAAGGUCCUGGGUUCAAUCCCCAGCACCUCA
rnacentral:tRNA from 1 species